GCUGUUUGUCUGCAGCUGCUGCUACGUCUGCCCAGCUCUGCUAUCUAUGCCAUAACUACACUUCCCGCAACUCAACAGGGGUUGCUGUCACCAAAUUCCAGCAGUCGGCGCACGGCAAUUCCCAUCACAGUGAACAGAUUGCUCUAGAGCGUGGGAUGGCAAGCAAAGCGGAAGAAAGAAAAGAGAAAAAUAUGCAAGGAUAUAAAUGUUGGAGCGAGGCCGUCGGUCAGGCAGGCCAGCGAGAUUAGCGACACGGCUAACAAGACGAAGGGGAGGAUGAACCGAACUUACAAAUGCCAAAGCUUGAUGCAACAAAUGGCGAAGGAAAGAGAUUGAAGGGAUGGAUGGAUCAUGGAUGGACGGCAAGCGCACAGGAGCAGGAGCAUUCAACUUGAGCUGCCAAAGAUGUGACUCCUUCUGUCCUCCUAUUCAACUCCUCUCCAUCGUCGUGACUCGCUAUCGUCGCCCGUGGUUUCUGGGACGAGACGAAGCUCCUUCAUUCAACGCUAUAUAUUACGCUACAGUGCUUGGAUGGCAGACAAGGAAUUUGCCUUUAGCGAUUUGGAAAUGCUAAAGGCAAUUCCAAAUUGAAUGAUUCUCACCUCAACAAUUCCAAUCAUGGUCCGGAGACAUAGCUGUGUUGUUCUUUCCAGGCCGCAGUGUGUACACGGAGGGUUGGCGUUCCGGCCAGCCACUGCACCGAAACGCUCCGCCAAUCGCAGUACGAGAGCCAUAUAAGAUGUUCUACACUACAGGUACGAGAUUGCUUUAGAUCUGGUGUCUCCAUGCAAGCUAACUCGGGAUUUCUAUACAAGAAACAAACACAGUGUUCUACGCUACAGGGACAAGAUUGUUUUAAAUGUGCUAGCUAACUUGUAUUGGAAAACUAGAUCGAAACACCGUGUUGCUGGGAUCCAUACACGAAAAGAAAGAUGAUAGACAGCCUACUAGCAUCACGAUGGCCACGCCAACCCGAAAACAAAUCCUCCCGCACAGAUACGGUGGCAUCACAUUUUUCAGCUCUUCUGGGGCCUUCGUAGCUUAGGGAGCUAUCUACCAGUGGUGGUUAUGCUGGUCUUUUCGUCACCAGCAGCAUUUACGCUUCCAUCUUGACAAGACAAGAGCGCAAGAACAAAAAGGAAAAAAAAAUGGUAGACCUCGCAAGAACAGGGGCCUCCUGGCAAGAGACUUCGCACAGGCAGCCUUCCUUAAAUGUAUCGCUACGGUCGACCGCUGUGAAGUACGCCGGGAUUUAUCUUUCUCUCCUUGGGGACUCUGGUUUUGAGGAAGAUUUCCACCGGCCUCAGGAACGAGUAAGAAUCAACGUCCUGUUCUUUUCAGAGGCGAAAAAUCUUUCCGGAGGCAAAAGGAGGCGCUUGGAAGUAAGUGGCUUUAAGUCGAGCGCCGUGGCGAUGGUAGCCUUCUUUCUAAGCCGGAGUGGCAGGGACGCGUUUAUGUUUCCUGCAAAUCCAGGAGCUCGAGUGUUAUGUAUUUCCCGUGUGAUUUACAAAGUUGUUAACGUUUUCCUUU